ensembl:misc_RNA 7SK 7SK RNA
GGAUGUGAGGGUGAUCUGGCUGUGACAUCUGUCACCCCAUUGAUCACCUAGGUUUAUUCAGUUGAUCUUGCUGGCAAGUCAGGUAUCCCCUUCCCCACUCCAUGUGUGUCCCUCCCGAAGCUGUGCCAAAGCUUCCCUGAUAGAGGAGGACAGGUCUUUGGUCAAGGAUAUAUGAGUAGCUGCGGUCCCAUGCUAGAACCUCCAAACAAGCUCUCAGACCUCACUGGGGACUCCUCUCUGCAGGGGUUUUGCCUUGCCUGUCUGCAGGGCCUCAGCCACCACCACUAUCCCCUCUGCAGGCCAAGGCCAAUGGCA